GAUGAACGCUGACAGAAUGCUUAACACAUGCAAGUCUUUGGCGAAGCUGUGCUUGCACCGCCUGGCCAAGGCGGACGGGUGAGUAACGCGUAAGGAACUUGCCCUGCAGUCAGGGAUAACAGACGGAAACGACUGAUAAGACCUGGUAAAGUCAGGCGGACUCAUGUCCAGCCUGAUGAAAAGAGAUGCUGCAGGAGAGCCUUGCGUCCUAUUAGCUUGUUGGUGGGGUAACGGCCCACCAAGGCGAUGAUAGGUAGCCGGCCUGAGAGGGUGGACGGCCACAAGGGGACUGAGAUACGGCCCUUACUCCUACGGGAGGCAGCAGUGGGGAAUAUUGGACAAUGGGGGCAACCCUGAUCCAGCAAUUCUGUGUGCACGAUGAAGGUUUUCGGAUUGUAAAGUGCUUUCAGCAGGGAAGAAAAAAAUGACGGUACCUGCAGAAGAAGCGACGGCUAAAUACGUG
rnacentral:rRNA from 1 species